GGGCACCUCGGCGCUGUCCUCUGUGGUCUCAGGCCACGUGGUUCCGGGACUGAAAAUGGCGGCGGUAGGCAGCCCAGGUUCGCUUGAGUCCGCUCCACGAAUAAUGCGGCUGGUCGCUGAGUGCAGUCGCUCCGGAGCUCGGGCGGGUGAGCUGCGGCUGCCGCAUGGAACGGUAGCCACCCCUGUGUUCAUGCCUGUGGGUACACAGGCCACCAUGAAGGGUAUCACCACGGAGCAGCUGGACUCCCUGGGCUGCCGCAUCUGCUUGGGCAACACCUACCAUCUGGGGCUGAGGCCGGGACCGGAGCUGAUCCGGAAAGCCCAGGGUCUUCACGGCUUCAUGAAUUGGCCCCACAAUCUGCUGACGGAUAGCGGCGGCUUCCAGAUGGUGUCCCUCUUCUCCCUGUCCGAGGUGACGGAGGAGGGCGUCCACUUCCGCUCGCCCUACGAUGGAGAAGAGACACUUUUGAGCCCAGAGAGGUCGGUGGAGAUCCAGAAUGCUCUGGGCUCGGACAUCAUCAUGCAGUUAGACCAUGUGGUGAGCAGCACAGUGACAGGCCCUCUAGUGGAGGAGGCCAUGCACAGGUCAGUCCGCUGGCUGGACAGAUGCAUCGCAGCCCAUAAGCACCCGGACAAGCAGAACCUCUUUGCCAUCAUCCAGGGUGGACUGAAUGCUGAUCUUCGGACCACUUGUCUGAAAGGUAGAGUCAGGUACUGACAAGGGUAGGGCUGGUCCAGGUACAAGGGUGCUGUGACCAUAGCCAUUAACUAUGAGUAAAGGUGUGAGUGCAGGAGACAGAGGCCUGAGGCCUCAGGCAGUAGUAGGGCAGGUCUAGAAAACUGAUCCUAGGUUGGAUCAUGGUUUUUGAAUUUGAUGAUUCUCUCUGUCUGUCUGUCUGUCUGUCUCUUCUUUCUCUAUGUCUUCUCCCUCCCUCCUUCCCUUCCUCCCAGUGGUGUGUGUGUGUGUGUGUCUGUCACAUGCAUGCAUGCAUGCAUGCGUGCGCAUGUGCACAUGUGAUACUGUGAGUGUGUGGUGAGUUUUCUCCUUCCACCAUGUGGGUCCUGGGGUGGGGGUGGGGUGGGGUGGGGUGGGGGUGGGGUGGGGUGGGGCUCAGAUCCUCAGGCUUGGCAGCAAGUGCCUUUGCCCUCUUGCUGGCUCUUCUCACAGAUCUGUUGACUUAUGACAGGCUUCCAUGUAGCCCAGGCUGGUCUGUGUAGCAGAGAAUGAUCCUGUACUUGUGAUCCUCCUGCCUCCGUGUCUGAGUGCUAGGAUCACUGGCAUGCAUCACCGCACUUGGAUGAUGUGUGGAUGAGCUGGGACCCAGGGCUUCCUGCACAAGGGGACACUAAUGACCCAGUCACAGUCAUGCAGAUCAGACUGGCCUGAGUUCCUGAUCCUCCUGCCCCAGCCUCCUGUGCUGUUGGGAUUCCAGGAGAUGACCAAGAGAGAUGUGCCGGGCUUCGCCAUCGGAGGUCUGAGUGGAGGAGAAAGCAAGGCACAGUUCUGGAAGAUGGUGGCGUUGAGCACCUCCAUGCUGCCUAAGGACAAGCCACGAUACCUGAUGGGGGUUGGCUAUGCCACCGAUUUGGUGGUCUGCGUGGCUCUUGGAUGUGACAUGUUCGACUGUGUGUACCCCACACGGACAGCGCGCUUUGGAUCCGCCCUUGUGCCCACUGGGAACCUUCAGUUGAAGAAGAAGCAGUAUGCCAAGGAUUUCAGCCCCAUAAACCCUGAGUGUCCCUGUCCCACCUGCCAGACGUAGGUCUUAGAAGUUAGGAUUGGAGAGGGGAGAGGGCUCAGGCAAGUAUGCAGCCACCAACUGUGUGACCCACAGGCACAGCCGAGCCUUCCUGCAUGCCCUGCUACACAGUGACAACACUACAGCACUACACCACCUAACCGUGCACAACAUUGCCUAUCAGCUGCAGCUCCUGAGUGCCGUGCGCAGCAGUAUCUUGGAACAGCGCUUUCCUGACUUUGUACGAAACUUCAUGCGCACUAUGUAUGGUGACCACAGCCUCUGUCCUGCCUGGGCCGUUGAAGCACUGGCCUCUGUGGGAAUCAUGCUCACAUGACCUGGUUGCUGGGAAGGACACUGGGGUAUGGGGAAUUCUGAAGGAUUCUUUUUUAUAAAAGAUUUUGUUACUACUUUUUGUUUUCAUUUAA